GUAGGUUAUUGCCAGGGUUUUUAUUUAAUACUUUAAAUCUUGAAUUUAUUUUUUAAAUGUUCAUAUUAUUUGAAUAAGACAUUCAAAUAAUUUGUUAACCCACAUAUAUAUUGACAUGGAUUAAACAAAGAUAUAUAUUAUUCUAUGUUGUAUAAACAAAUUGGCAAAAUAGAGAUGGAAGAUAAAAAUAUGGUCUAAGUAAUAAGAGUCUAUGGUGAAUGCCUAGGAGCUUUAAGGCGAAGAAGGUCGUGGUAAGCUGCGCAAAGCCUGGGGGAAAAGCCAACCUUUUUUAAUCCCAAGA
rnacentral:misc_RNA from 1 species